rnacentral:lncRNA from 1 species
CCCACAUUACAUCCCUAAUGGUACCCGAAGUUCCAAAUUCGAAUUCUAAUUGGUUCACAUUUCUAGCUAAGUUAUUUUUAAAUGAAAUAAACGAAGCGGAUAGCAUGUCAUCUAUCUUUCAAAGAAAAAAAAAAAAAAAUUAUAUAAAAUUUAGAUUGACAAGAUGUAAGGUUCAUAUUUAUUUUUAGAUGUACAAAUAGUAUUAUUGUAUCACUUUUUAUUUUUUUAAUACUAAAAAUCAGAAUUAUCUAAACUCUUGCACA